CUAUUGAUCCCUCAACAUGUGCCAGAAAGCAAGCAGUGUGUUGCUUAAAUGAGGUUCAAGAUGAGGCACGUCUCAGAAACAGUAGAUAGAAACAGAUAAAUGGGAAAAAAAGACAGAGAAACGUCUGAAACUUAAAUGUAUUACAAAACUGAACUGCCAGUCAAUACAAAUUAUUUAGAAAUACAAGCUAUAAAGUAUUAUUUUUC